rnacentral:tRNA from 3 species
GCCCCAGUGGCGCAGUGGCUAGCGCAACUGAUUUGUAAUCAGUAGGUCGCGGGUUCGAAUCCCUCCUGGGGCUCCA